rnacentral:lncRNA from 1 species
UCCACGUCAUCUUUAGUGACACAUAUGAAGCUAAGUCUCAUUUUCUCUAGAGGAUGCCAUGGUGGAAUACAGCUAGAAACAAAGAAGAUUGUCGGAUUUCAAUCAAAUCCAUUAGAAAUCGGUACGAUCAAAAACUCCUGUAAGUAGUACCGGGCACGUGCAAACAUGAAUUCAAAUACGCAUGCAACAUGAGUCUAUUGAGAAAAAAAAACCACUAUGCAACAUUUUUGUGUUGUGCUCCAGGGUGUAGAACGGGAUAUGACAACAAGCCACAACAGUCUGGUGUUACGAUCCAUCUGUGGUAAAACAAAGAG